rnacentral:rRNA from 1 species
CCUACGGGAGGCAGCAGUAGGGAAUCUUUCACAAUGGGCGCAAGCCUGAUGGAGCAACGCCGCGUGCAGGAUGAAGGCCUUCGGGUUGUAAACUGCUUUUAUAAGCGAGAAAUAUGAUGGUAACUUAUGAAUAAGGAACGGCUAACUACGUGCCAGCAGCCGCAGUCAUACGUAGGAUCCGAGCAUUAUCCGGAGUGACUGGGUGUAAAGAGUUGCGUAGGUGGCAUAAUAAGUAGCUAGGGAAAUCUGGUGGCUCAACCAUUCAGACUAUUAGCUAAACUGGUAAGCUCGAGACCGUUAGGGGCAUGUGGAAUUUGUAGUGUAGGAGUGAAAUCCGUAGAUAUUAGAAGGAACACCAAUAGCGUAGGCAGGAUGCUGGGACGGUUCUGACACUAAGGCACGAAAGCGUAGGGAGCAAACGGGAUUAGAUACCCCAGUAGUC